UGUGCCAGCAGUCGCGGUUAUACUUUUAAUAUAAUUAUAUAGUAUUUUAUUAAUAUCACGAUUUUUAUAUAUAAUACUAUUUUAAGUGACAUUUAAUAGUUUUUUACAAAAAUUUAUCAAUUAAUUAAAAUUUAAAAUUUAAAAUAGGAUUAGAUACCCUAGUAUAUUUAAACAAAUUGNGGUAGUAUUAUUAAUAAAAACCUUUAUACUUUGGCGGCAUUUUAUCUUAUUAGAGGAAUAUGUUCAUUAAUCGAAACCACACGAUAGUUUUUACUUACUAUAAAAUUUUAUAUACCCCCGUCUAAAGAAUUUAUUUAAAAUUUUUAUUCCAAAUUAUAUUAAAAAAAGUUAGGUAAAGGUGUAGACUAUUAGUAAGAUUAAAUGUAUUACAUUAAAAAAAAUUUAAGGAUAAAACAGUUAACUGUUUAUUAAAAGAGGAUUUAUAAGUAAUUUACUUUUAAUAAAAAUUAAUGAAUAAGAAAAUAAAUGUGCACAUAUCGCCCGUCACCCUUGUCU
rnacentral:rRNA from 1 species